GGCUAUUGAUAUUUUCACUUUAAAUUGUGAGCUCAUAGAAUGCAGGGUCCACAUUUGUAUCUCUCACACUUAACUGAUGCCU
ensembl:snoRNA SNORD83 Small nucleolar RNA SNORD83